rnacentral:tRNA from 1 species
AAGGCUUUAAGUUAAAUAAACUAAUAGCCUUCAAAGCUAUAAAUAAAUGUCAAUAAUCUUUUAAGCCUUA